UACGAAGGUGGCAAGCGUUGUUCGGAUUUACUGGGCGUAAAGGGCGCGUAGGCGGUCGUGACAAGUCACUUGUGAAAUCUCCGGGCUUAACUCGGAACGGUCAAGUGAUACUGUCGGACUAGAGUGCAGAAGGGGCAACUGGAAUUCUCGGUGUAGCGGUGAAAUGCGUAGAUAUCGAGAGGAACACCUGCGGCGAAGGCGGGUUGCUGGGCUGACACUGACGCUGAGGCGCGAAAGCCAGGGGAGCGAACGGG
rnacentral:rRNA from 1 species